ACAUAUAUGUAUGUUUAUAUAUAAAACAUAUAUGUAUGUUUUAUAUAUAUAACAUAUAUGUAUGUUUUAUAUAUAUAACAUAUAUGUAUGUUUUAUAUAUAUAACAUAUAUGUAUGUUUUAUAUAUAUAUAUGUAUAUAAAGAAAAUCACAAACCUAGUCACUCUACUGAUGCAAAUGAUUUGGGGGUGUCUUCCUAGCUUUACAAUAAGAGGAGGGACCUCUGCUGCACCCUCUGUCUCAGUUUCAGGGCAACAUCUGGUCUCUUUGGAAGCAGCUUCCAUGCAUGACAUAAGCAAACAGGGCCCCGACUUUCUUCCUGAAGGCCACUUUUCACGCUUUUCAAACUAGUUUCUGUACGUCUGAAACAAACCCUCUGCAUGGAGGCCUGCAAUGUGCAUAGAUUGUUCAUAACUCAGAACGUUGACUUUAAUCAAUUGCUAAAUGUGUUACCUUUUGUUUGAAGAAAAAUAGGAUGCAAGUGUCUUUGUAUAUUCAAAUAAAAGCUAAUGAAUGAAAAAUUUCCAAUAACAUAAAUUUCAACUCCACAAUACAAGUCUCAAUGAGGCUAACCACUUUCUCUCAUUGUUUCUUUUAUCGUGGUAUGCGCUAGUGCAGGAUACUGACUUUUUUUUCAGAUUGGUCUUAGCACAAUUACUAAAAUAAUUUCAUUUUUCUACUUGAAAUGACAGAUUUAGCAGGAUUAACAUCUCAUAAGGGAUACCUCCAUAACCAAAACUGGAUAGAUUUUGGAGUUUUCACACUGACCUCAAGGAGCAAUGCAUUCCUUUUGCUAUUACUUUUGAAGACAUGAGACAUCUAUAUCUGAUUUUUUUUUUUUUUUUUUUGAGAUGGAGUCUCGCUCUGUCACCAGGCUGGAGUACAGUGGCUCAAUCUCAACUCACUGCAACCUCCGCCUCCCAGGUUCAAGCAAUUCUCCUGCCUCAGCCUCCCAAGUGGCUGGGACUACAGGCACCCACCACCACUCCUGGCUAAUUUUUGUAUUUUUAGUAGAGACGGGGUUUCACUAUGUUGACCAGGUUGGUCUUGAAUUCCUUACCUCGUGAUCCACCUGCCUCGGCCUCCCAAAGUGCUGGGAUUACAGGCGUGAGCCACCACACCUGGCCUAUACCUGAUAUUUCUUAUGCUUUGAUUACAAAUUCAACUGAGGAGACAGCAGAUGCUGAAAGUCUGAAGAAGUAGAAGGGACAUGUCAAAACUCAGCAAAUUAUAUCCUGUUUUUGUUCAUUCAGGCUGCUAUAACAAAAAUACCAUACCCUGGAUGCUUAUAAACAACAGAAAUGUAUGUCUCCCAGUCCCCGAAGCUAGGAUGUCCAAGAUCAAGUCACCAGCACAUGCAGCAUCUGUUGACAACCUACUACUUCUUGUUUCAUAGGUGUCUCUCUUUUCUCUGUGUCCUCACAUGCUGCAAAGGGCAAGGGAUCUCUCUGGGUCUUUUAUAAGGACGCUAAAUUCCAUUCCUGCUGGCAGAGCCCUCAUGACCUAAUGACAUCAACAACGGCCUCACAUCUUAAUAGCAUCACCUUGGGAGUUAGGUUUCCACAUAUGAAUUGUAGGAGGACACAAACAUUCAGUUUAUAGCAUAUGCAUAAGCAACUAAAGAGCAAAAAGAAGAGACUAUGGGCAUCUCCUAGAUAGGAAAUUGAAAUUCAGAAAGCAUAAGUAACUCAGUCAGGUGUGAGAAAUGGUGGAGCCUCCUUCCUAUUAUACUCUGUAGGAACAAUUUAAGGUUCCUGUAUGUGUAAUUGUCGGGAUAGCAGCUCUAAAUGUUAGAUCAUUCUUACCAGAUAAUAUAAAAAUGCAACAUGAUUCAAUCUGGUCAAUUUUGUUCUUUCCACCUAAAAUAAUUCUUCAUUAAAAUAUAGUUUUAAUUUACUGAAUUAAUUCUUUAAGCUGAAUAUAAACACAGUUGCAAUGUGAAGGAAAAGUAGAAAGCUUACAUAAUAUAUGUAAUGUGGACUGUCACCAAUCACCCCUAACUGUAAAUACAUGCUACAGAUGUUUUCUUACUUGUCUGAGUUGGAGCCCUGAACUGUACCCAGGUGUGUCCACUCUGAAAAGCUGUACUUCUGGGCUAGCACAGAAACAAACAGUAAUCAGAAGGGGUUACUAACCUAUUUCUCACCUUGGUUCUUCUGAAUAAACUCAGAAUUUAAUCUCACCAUCAAUAUAUUGAUGCAGAUCUCGGCUCACUGCAACCUCCCCCUGCCAGGUUCAAGUGAUUCUCCCGCCUUAGCCUCCUGAGUAGCUGGGAUUACAGGUGCCUGCCACCAUGCCCAGAUAAUUUUUGUAUUUUUAGUAGAGAUGGGGUUUCGCCAUGUUAGCCAGGCUGGUCUCAAACUCCUAAUCUCAGCUGAUCCACCUGCCCUGGUCUCCCGCAGUGCUGGGAUUACAGGCAUGAGCCACCACACCCCGCCUCCAGGAGCUACUCUUUAUAGUCUUCUCUCUUCUGUCUUGUUUCUCCUGUGGUUCUGUUUUGAGGCUUUCACACUUUACUCAGGAUGUGUACUUAUCACAGCUACUUUUGGAAGGAUUGCUGCUGAUGUAAUUUAUUACUCUCUUUACCUCGAUUUUUAAUAAAGAAAGCACUUUGAAAAUGUUUUUCUUUUACUCUAACUAUAUUCUCAGGAGUUUAUUACUACUUGCUCCAAAUCUGGGUUGUUUCCCUUUUGUUCACUUUGGACUUUUGUCUAAAGACCUCUGUUAGUAGAUGAAUAUUGCCUUUGAACAAAUAAAAAUAUUUGAACACAGUUUUACAUUGAUCUAUUUUAAUGAACCAAAGCAAGUUUUGCAUGAGUGUGCAGUAAUAGAUUUCCAAUGAGACUUUUAAAGUCAGUUUUAAAAUCUGCACUUUUGAAGAUUAAUUUCUUGUGCCAUGCCAAUGAAACACUGUCCCAUUGCCAACUCCACAAUGAUGUUUAGCUUUACUGAACUUCCUCCUGUGAAACUGAUCUUCAAGCCAAGUUAAACUUGUUUCCUUCAUAGAAAUAGUUAUAGGGACAAAUGACUUUAAGCAAUAGGAUGGAUCCAGCCUUCAAGGUGACAUGUAUUCACCUUAGCUCCAAAGCCAAUUAAGUAAACCAAAGGAUCCUUUUUUUGAACUAUCCUAAGCCAUUCCAAAAUUAUUUGUUUUAUCUCAUGGAAAAUGUUUUGAAUCUCAAGUCCCUUAAAACAUACUGCAGUUAUUAACAAAGUCAAGGAGUUAAAAGGCAGUCUGCCUGCAGAAUCUGCUGAACAAUGUGUCAACCUUAGGGAUAUAGUUAAAAACUGGAAUGGAUCUGGCCAGUCCCUUUGGUCUCACAGAAAUUCCUAAACCACACUGUACUUUGAAGCAAUUUUCCAGGCACCCCUCUUUGCAAGUUCUGCAUUGCUUCAGGGUCCUGACUUCUAAGGUUUAUUUUAAGAUCUUCUAAAAAGGGAUUAGAAAUCAGAGGAUGAAGGGUGGGAGGACGGAGAGAAUACUAGGCUUAAUAGCUGGAUGGUGAAAUAAUCUGUACGACAAACCCCCAUGACACCUGUGUAAUAAACCUGCACAUGUACCCAUGAACUUC
rnacentral:lncRNA from 1 species